AUUGAACGCUGGCGGAAUGCUUUACACAUGCAAGUCGAACGGCAGCACGGACUUCGGUCUGGUGGCGAGUGGCGAACGGGUGAGUAAUAUAUCGGAACGUAUCCAAUAAUGGGGGAUAACUAGUCGAAAGAUUGGCUAAUACCGCAUACGCCCUACGGGGGAAAGCAGGGGAUCUUCGGACCUUGCGUUAAUGGAGCGGCCGAUAUCUGAUUAGCUAGUUGGUGGGGUAAAGGGCCACCAAGGCGACGAUCAGUAGCUGGUCUGAGAGGACGACCAGCCACACUGGAACUGAGACACGGUCCAGACUCCUACGGGAGGCAGCAGUGGGGAAUUUUGGACAAUGGGCGCAAGCCUGAUCCAGCCAUUCCGCGUGAGUGAAGAAGGCCUUCGGGUUGUAAAGCUCUUUCGCAAGGAAAGAAAACUUAGCCACUAACAUUGGCUGAGGUUGACGGUACCUUGAUAAGAAGCACCGGCUAACUACGUGCCAGCCGCCGCCGUAAGAC
rnacentral:rRNA from 1 species